rnacentral:rRNA from 1 species
GACGAACGCUGGCGGCGUGCUUAACACAUGCAAGUCGAACGGUGAAGCGCCUUCCUUUUUGGUGGGUGUGGAUGCGUGGCGAACGGGUGAGUAACACGUGAGUAACCUGCCCCCUUCUUCUGGAUAACCGCAUGAAAGUGUGGCUAAUACGGGAUAUUCUGGGUCUGUCGCAUGAUGGGUCUGGGUAAGCUAUUGUUUCGGUGGGGGAUGGGCUCGCGGCGGAUCAGCUUGUUGGUGGGGUGAUGGCCUACCAAGGCGGUGACGGGUAGCCGGCCUGGGAGGGUGGACGGCCAGAGUGGGACUGAGACACGGCUCAGACUCCUACGGGGGGCAGCAGUGGGGAAGAGUGCACAGUGGAGGCAAGCGUGAUGCAGCGACGAGGCGUGAGGGAUGGAGGCCUGCGGGUUGUGAACCUCUUUCGCUAGUGAAGCAGGCCUGCCUCGUUUGUGGGUGGGGUGACGGUAGCUGGAUAAGAAGCGCCGGCUAACUACGUG